AGGCAUGGUGGUGCACAUCUGUAGUCCUGGUUAGUCAGGAGACAGAGGCAGGAGGAUCACUUGAGCCCAGGAGUUUAAGUUUGCGGUGAGUAUGAUGGUGCCACUGCACUCCAGCCUGGGUGAUGAAGUGAGAUCCUGCCUCAAAAAACAAAACAAGGCCAGGCGUGGUGGCUCACACCUGUAAUCCCAGAACUUUAGGAGACUGAGGUGGGUAGAUCAGUUGAGGUCAGGAGUUUGAGACCGGCCUGGCCAACAUGGUGAAACCCGUCUCUACUAAAAAAUAUGAAAAAUGAGCCUGGUGUGGUGGUACACACCUGUAAUCACAGCUACUCGGGAGGCUGAAGCAGGAGAAUCACUUGAACCUGGGAGGCGGAGGUUGCAGUGAACAGAGGUCACGCCACUGCACUCCAGCCUUGGCGAUGGAGUGAGACUCCGUCUCAAAAAAAACCCAAACAACAAACAAACCGAGAAACAAAACAAAACACACACCUCAAUAAAUUCUACAACAGUUAUAAGUCUGGGAGACUCCAGGUGCAGAAGAAGAUGUUCUUAACUUCUACCUGGGGGGACUGGAAAGCUUCCUGGGGGGAUGGCAUCUAACCGGAGAGUGGAGGAAUUAGCCAGGCAAAGUCAAGUGUUCCAGGCAGAGUGAUCAGUUUCUACAAAUGCCUGGAGGUGAGAAAGCAUUAGCCUGACCUACCUACCUUCCUUCCUCCCUCCCUCCCUCCCUUCCUUCCUUCCUUCUCUCUCCUUCCUUCCUGCCUGCCUUCCUUCCUUCCUUCCUCCCUCCCUCCCCACUGCCCCUCGUCCCCUCCCCUCUCCUCCCCCCACUUUCUUUCUUCACUUUUCCAGCACUCCUGUGACCAAGCACUCUUCUGGAUUCUGGACUAGCUGUGUGGGUGAGCAAGAGACGGAGUCUCACUCUGUCACCCAGGCUGUAUUGCAAUUGUGUGAUCUCAGCUCACUGCAACCUCCGCCUCCCAGGUUCAAGCAAUUCUCCUGCUUCAGCCUCCUGAGUAGCCGGGACUACAGAUGA
rnacentral:lncRNA from 13 species